rnacentral:lncRNA from 1 species
AUCAGGUCUUUCGCGUCGUGAAUACGAGUCGGAAGUUUACCACAAAGUUGACCCUUUUAAAAUAGAAAAAUUAAAAGUUAGAUGUAUAGAAAGGCCAAUAGGUUCGUAGGCAUAAUUAUUCCUAUUAUGUAAAAGAGCUGCUUUGAGGAAAACUGUGAGAGAAAAAAAAUUUUAAAUUGAUGAUGCUUAGUGAAUUGAAACUAGUGCCAUAUUUAUUCUCAUUAUUCAAAACUGCUUUAGGAAAGAUUUUAAAUGAAAAACUUUGUUAGGGGCUGCAAGAAUAUAAUUUUUUAGAACUGCUAGACAUGGAAAAGUUUUGGAACCUGUGUCUUAGAAGAUGAUAUUGUGAAGUUCAGUUUUGAACUAAUAAAGAAUACUGUAUAUGUACAUAUAAAAAAAAUCUAAUAUCUAUGUGAA